rnacentral:rRNA from 1 species
CGUAGGUGGCAAGCGUUGUCCGGAUUUUAUUGGGUUUAAAGGGUGCGUAGGUGGCCCUGUAAGUCAGUGGUGAAAUAUCUCAGCUUAACUGAGAGGGUGCCAUUGAUACUGCAGGGCUUGAGUACAGAUGAGGUAGGCGGAAUUGACGGUGUAGCGGUGAAAUGCAUAGAUAUCGUCAAGAACACCGAUAGCGAAGGCAGCUUACCAAGCUGUAACUGACACUGAGGCACGAAAGUGUGGGGAUCAAACAGGAUUAGAUACCCUGGUAGUCCACACUGUAAACGUUGAUGACUCGAUGUUGGCGAUACACAGCCAGCGUCCAAGAGCAAUCGUUAAGUCAUCCACCUGGGGAGUACGCCGGCAACGGUG